rnacentral:rRNA from 1 species
AACGUAGGUUCCGAGCGUUAUCCGGAUUUACUGGGCGUAAAGCGCGUUCAGGCGGUUUGGCAAGUCGGGCAUGAAAUCUCUCGGCUCAACCGGGGAGAGGUUGUCCGAUACUUCCAGACUUGAGGGCAGUAGAGGGUGGUGGAAUUCCGGGUGUAGUGGUGAAAUGCGUAGAUAUCCGGAGGAACACCAGUGGCGAAAAGCGGCCCACCUGGACUGC